UACGUAGGGUGCAAGCGUUAAUCGGAAUUACUGGGCGUAAAGCGUGCGCAGGCGGUCCGUUAAGACAGAUGUGAAAUCCCCGGGCUUAACCUGGGAACUGCAUUUGUGACUGGCGGACUCGAGUAUGGCAGAGGGGGGUAGAAUUCCACGUGUAGCAGUGAAAUGCGUAGAGAUGUGGGAGGAAUACCGAUGGCGAAGGCAGCCCCCUGGGCCAAUACUGACGCUCAUGCACGAAAGCGUGGGGAGCAAACAGGAUUAGAAACCCCGUG
rnacentral:rRNA from 1 species